UGGGGAAUAUUGCACAAUGGGGGAAACCCUGAUGCAGCAACGCCGCGUGAGUGAUGACGGUCUUCGGAUUGUAAAGCUCUGUCUUUGGGGACGAUAAUGACGGUACCCAAGGAGGAAGCCACGGCUAACUACGUGCCAGCAGCCGCGGUAAUACGUAGGUGGCGAGCGUUAUCCGGAAUUAUUGGGCGUAAAGGGAGCGUAGGCGGAUAAUUAAGUGGGAUGUGAAAUACUCAGGCUCAACCUGGGGGCUGCAUUCCAAACUGAUUAUCUAGAGUGCAGGAGAGGAGAGUGGAAUUCCUAGUGUAGCGGUGAAAUGCGUAGAGAUUAGGAAGUUCUCCAGUGGCGAAGGCGACUCUCUGGACUGUAACUGACGCUGAGGCUCGAAAGCGUGGGGAGC
rnacentral:rRNA from 1 species